GACGAACGCUGGCGGCGUGCUUAACACAUGCAAGUCGAACGGAAAGGCCCCAGCUUGCUGGGGUACUCGAGUGGCGAACGGGUGAGUAACACGUGGGUGAUCUGCCCUGCACUCUGGGAUAAGCCUGGGAAACUGGGUCUAAUACCGGAUAGGACCGUGCUUUAGUGUGUGCGGUGGAAAGUUUUUCGGUGCAGGAUGAGCCCGCGGCCUAUCAGCUUGUUGGUGGGGUAAUGGCCUACCAAGGCGGCGACGGGUAGCCGGCCUGAGAGGGUGUACGGCCACAUUGGGACUGAGACACGGCCCAGACUCCUACGGGAGGCAGCAGUGGGGAAUAUGGCACAAUGGGCGCAAGCCUGAUGCAGCGACGCCGCGUGGGGGAUGACGGCCUUCGGGUUGUAAACCCCUUUCGGCAGGGACGAAGCUUUUGUGACGGUACCUGCAUAAGAAGCACCGGCUAACUACGU
rnacentral:rRNA from 1 species